rnacentral:rRNA from 1 species
AUACGGAGGUUGCGAGCGUUACUCGGAGUCACUGGGCGUAAAGCGUCCGUAGGCGGUCGGGUAAGUCGGGUGUGAAAGCCCCGGGCUCAACCUGGGAAGUGCACCCGAUACUGCUCGACUCGAGUGCGGGAGAGGAUGGCGGAAUUCCCGGUGUAGCGGUGAAAUGCGUAGAGAUCGGGAGGAACACCAGUGGCGAAGGCGGCCAUCUGGCCCGCAACUGACGCUGAGGGAUGAAAGCGUGGGGAGCAAACAGGAUUAGAUACCCUAGUAGUCC